GACGAACGCUGGCGGCGUGCUUAAUACAUGCAAGUCGAACGGAAAGGCCCUGCUUUUGUGGGGUGCUCGAGUGGCGAACGGGUGAGUAACACGUGAGUAACCUGCCCUUGACUUUGGGAUAACUUCAGGAAACUGGGGCUAAUACCGGAUAGGAGCUCCUGCUGCAUGGUGGGGGUUGGAAAGUUUCGGCGGUUGGGGAUGGACUCGCGGCUUAUCAGCUUGUUGGUGGGGUAGUGGCUUACCAAGGCCUUGACGGGUAGCCGGCCUGAGAGGGUGACCGGCCACAUUGGGACUGAGAUACGGCCCAGACUCCUACGGGAGGCAGCAGUGGGGAAUAUUGCACAAUGGGCGGAAGCCUGAUGCAGCAACGCCGCGUGCGGGAUGACGGCCUUCAGGUUGUAAACCGCUUUCGCCUGUGACGAAGCGUGAGUGACGGUAAUGGGUAAAGAAGCACCGGCUAACUACGUG
rnacentral:rRNA from 1 species